rnacentral:rRNA from 1 species
GCUGGAAGCAGCCAGUCCGCCCUUUGUGGGUGUGCACUUGGUGAAUUCUGGCAUCCUCCUGAUUGGUGUCACCAUCACUUCAUUGUGUUGGCGGCAGCUAUCAGGACCGUUACUUUGAGAAAAUUAGAGUGUUUCAAGCAGGCUUGUUGCCUUGAAUACUGCAGCAUGGAAUAACAAGAUAGGAUUUCGGUUCUAUUUUGUUGGUUUCUAGGACUGAAGUAAUGAUUAAUAGGGACAGUUGGGGGCAUUCGUAUUUAACUGUCAGAGGUGAAAUUCUUAGAUUUGUUAAAGACGAACUACUGCGAAAGCAUUUGCCAAAGAUGUUUUCAUUAAUCAAGAACGAAAGUUAGGGGCUCGAAGACGAUCAGAUACCGUCGUAGUCCUAACCAUAAACUA